AAUAGAUACCCCGGUAGUCCACGCCGUAAACGAUGAGUGCUAGGUGUCGGGGGGUUUCGAUACCCGCGGUGCCGAAGUUAACGCAAUAAGCACUCCGCCUGGGGAGUACGCUCGCAAGAGUGAAACUCAAAGGAGUUGACGGGGACCCGCACAAGCAGUGGAGUAUGUGGUUUAAUUCGAAGCAACGCGAAGAACCUUACCAGGUCUUGACAUCCCUCUGACCGGUGCAGAGAUGUGCCUUUCCUUCGGGACAGAGGAGACAGGUGGUGCAUGGUUGUCGUCAGCUCGUGUCGUGAGAUGUUGGGUUAAGUCCCGCAACGAGCGCAACCCUUAGCUUUAGUUGCCAGCAUGAGAGAUGGGCACUCUAGAGCGACUGCCGGUGACGAACCGGAGGAAGGUGGGGAUGACGUCAAAUCAUCAUGCCCCUUAUGACCUGGGCUACACACGUACUACAAUGGCCGGUACAGAGGGAAGCGAAGGAGCGAUCUGGAGCGAAUCCCAAAAAACGCGGUCUCAGUUCGGAUUGCAGGC
rnacentral:rRNA from 1 species